rnacentral:miRNA from 1 species
AGAUAACUUGAUAUGUAAGUG